rnacentral:rRNA from 1 species
UUAAGCGACUAAGCGUACACGGUGGAUGCCCUGGCAGUCAGAGGCGAUGAAGGACGUGCUAAUCUGCGAAAAGCGUCGGUAAGGUGAUAUGAACCGUUAUAACCGGCGAUGUCCGAAUGGGGAAACCCAGUGCAAUUCGUUGCACUAUCGUUAACUGAAUACAUAGGUUAACGAGGCGAACCGGGGGAACUGAAACAUCUAAGUACCCCGAGGAAAAGAAAUCAACCGAGAUUCCCCCAGUAGCGGCGAGCGAACGGGGAGCAGCCCAGAGUCUGAAUCAGCUUGUGUGUUAGUGGAACGGUCUGGAAAGUCCGACGGUACAGGGUGAUAGUCCCGUACACCAAAAUGCACAGGCUGUGAACUCGAAGAGUAGGGCGGGACACGUGGUAUCCUGUCUGAAUAUGGGGGGACCAUCCUCCAAGGCUAAAUACUCCUGACUGACCGAUAGUGAACCAGUACCGUGAGGGAAAGGCGAAAAGAACCCCGGCGAGGGGAGUGAAAAAGAACCUGAAACCGUGUACGUACAAGCAGUGGGAGCACCUUCGGGUGUGACUGCGUACCUUUUGUAUAAUGGGUCAGCGACUUAUAUUCUGUAGCAAGGUUAACCGUAUAGGGGAGCCGCAGGGAAACCGAGUCUUAACUGGGCGUUAAGUUGCAGGGUAUAGACCCGAAACCCGGUGAUCUAGCCAUGGGCAGGUUGAAGGUUGGGUAACACUAACUGGAGGACCGAACCGACUAAUGUUGAAAAAUUAGCGGAUGACUUGUGGCUGGGGGUGAAAGGCCAAUCAAACCGGGAGAUAGCUGGUUCUCCCCGAAAGCUAUUUAGGUAGCGCCUCGUGAACUCAUCUUCGGGGGUAGAGCACUGUUUCGGCUAGGGGGUCAUCCCGACUUACCAACCCGAUGCAAACUACGAAUACCGAAGAAUGUUAUCACGGGAGACACACGGCGGGUGCUAACGUCCGUCGUGAAGAGGGAAACAACCCAGACCGCCAGCUAAGGUCCCAAAGUCAUGGUUAAGUGGGAAACGAUGUGGGAAGGCACAGACAGCCAGGAUGUUGGCUUAGAAGCAGCCAUCAUUUAAAGAAAGCGUAAUAGCUCACUGGUCGAGUCGGCCUGCGCGGAAGAUGUAACGGGGCUAAACCAUGCACCGAAGCUGCGGCAGCGACACUAUGUGUUGUUGGGUAGGGGAGCGUUCUGUAAGCCUGCGAAGGUGUGCUGUGAGGCAUGCUGGAGGUAUCAGAAGUGCGAAUGCUGACAUAAGUAACGAUAAAGCGGGUGAAAAGCCCGCUCGCCGGAAGACCAAGGGUUCCUGUCCAACGUUAAUCGGGGCAGGGUGAGUCGACCCCUAAGGCGAGGCCGAAAGGCGUAGUCGAUGGGAAACAGGUUAAUAUUCCUGUACUUGGUGUUACUGCGAAGGGGGGACGGAGAAGGCUAUGUUAGCCGGGCGACGGUUGUCCCGGUUUAAGCAUGUAGGCUGGUUAUCCAGGCAAAUCCGGAUAAUCAAGGCUGAGGUGUGAUGACGAGGCACUACGGUGCUGAAGUAACAAAUGCCCUGCUUCCAGGAAAAGCCUCUAAGCAUCAGGUAACAUCAAAUCGUACCCCAAACCGACACAGGUGGUCAGGUAGAGAAUACCAAGGCGCUUGAGAGAACUCGGGUGAAGGAACUAGGCAAAAUGGUGCCGUAACUUCGGGAGAAGGCACGCUGGUGUGUAGGUGAAGUCCCUGCGGAUGGAGCUGAGACCAGUCGAAGAUACCAGCUGGCUGCAACUGUUUAUUAAAAACACAGCACUGUGCAAACACGAAAGUGGACGUAUACGGUGUGACGCCUGCCCGGUGCCGGAAGGUUAAUUGAUGGGGUUAUCCGUAAGGAGAAGCUCUUGAUCGAAGCCCCGGUAAACGGCGGCCGUAACUAUAACGGUCCUAAGGUAGCGAAAUUCCUUGUCGGGUAAGUUCCGACCUGCACGAAUGGCGUAAUGAUGGCCAGGCUGUCUCCACCCGAGACUCAGUGAAAUUGAACUCGCUGUGAAGAUGCAGUGUACCCGCGGCAAGACGGAAAGACCCCGUGAACCUUUACUAUAGCUUGACACUGAACAUUGAGCCUUGAUGUGUAGGAUAGGUGGGAGGCUUUGAAGCGUGGACGCCAGUCUGCGUGGAGCCAACCUUGAAAUACCACCCUUUAAUGUUUGAUGUUCUAACGUUGGCCCCUUACCGGGGUUGCGGACAGUGUCUGGUGGGUAGUUUGACUGGGGCGGUCUCCUCCCAAAGCGUAACGGAGGAGCACGAAGGUUAGCUAAUCCUGGUCGGACAUCAGGAGGUUAGUGCAAUGGCAUAAGCUAGCUUGACUGCGAGCGUGACGGCGCGAGCAGGUGCGAAAGCAGGUCAUAGUGAUCCGGUGGUUCUGAAUGGAAGGGCCAUCGCUCAACGGAUAAAAGGUACUCCGGGGAUAACAGGCUGAUACCGCCCAAGAGUUCAUAUCGACGGCGGUGUUUGGCACCUCGAUGUCGGCUCAUCACAUCCUGGGGCUGAAGUAGGUCCCAAGGGUAUGGCUGUUCGCCAUUUAAAGUGGUACGCGAGCUGGGUUUAGAACGUCGUGAGACAGUUCGGUCCCUAUCUGCCGUGGGCGCUGGAGAAUUGAGGGGGGCUGCUCCUAGUACGAGAGGACCGGAGUGGACGCAUCACUGGUGUUCGGGUUGUCAUGCCAAUGGCACUGCCCGGUAGCUAAAUGCGGAAGAGAUAAGUGCUGAAAGCAUCUAAGCACGAAACUUGCCCCGAGAUGAGUUCUCCCUGAGACUUUAAGUCUCCUGAAGGAACGUUAAAGACGAUGACGUUGAUAGGCCGGGUGUGUAAGCGCAGCGAUGCGUUGAGCUAACCGGUACUAAUGAACCGUGAGGCUUAACCU